rnacentral:rRNA from 1 species
GAAGUAAAAGUCGUAACAAGGUCUCCGUAGGUGAACCUGCGGAGGGAUCAUUACAGAGUUCAUGCCCUUCGGGGUAGAUCUCCCACCCUAUGUAUUUAUACCUUUGUUGCUUUGGUGGGCCGUUAGGCUUCGGCCCAGCUACCGGCUCACGCUGGUAAGUGCCCACCAGAGGACCUAAAACUCUGAAUGUUAAUGUCGUCUGAGUACUAUAUAAUAGUUAAAACUUUCAACAACGGAUCUCUUGGUUCUGGCAUCGAUGAAGAACGCAGCGAAAUGCGAUAAGUAAUGUGAAUUGCAGAAUUCAGUGAAUCAUCGAAUCUUUGAACGCACAUUGCGCCCUCUGGUAUUCCGGAGGGCAUGCCUGUUCGAGCGUCAUUACAACCCUCAAGCUCUGCUUGGUAUUGGGCGUCACCAGUUCUGGUGUGCUCUAAAAUCAGUGGCGGUGCCAUCUGGCUCUAAGCGUAGUACAUCUCUCGCUAUGGAAGUCUUAUGGAUGCUUGCCAACAACCCCAAAUUUUUUUAAGGUUGACCUCGGAUCAGGUAGGGAUACCCGCUGAACUUAAGCAUAU